AUGAAAGGAAAGAUAGUUGAAGCAGAACCAUCCGACUGCCAGCAAUCCAAGGACAAGGGAAAGAAAGUGGUGUUUGAGAAAUCUGAGUUUCCGCCACUUGUUUACAAGGGAAAAGAGAAGAUGGUAGAGACACUCAACUCCAAGAUACCUGAGAAAAGAGGCGGCGUUGCGGUCAUAUUGCCGUCAGCAUCAUCUUCAACAGGAAGGCCUACCAACGGUCAAAUUAUACUUCGAGCCGAUGCUCUUGAGUUUGCCCCCUCACUGGCCCAUAAACCUAGUGAGGAACACUUGGGAAUAAUGCAAAAACGUUCUGUGGAAUGGAAGGGAGUGUGCCUUACAUCUGGUGACCUCAAAGCAGGCCACAUAAAUCCAACAUCUGCACCAUCAGUUGCUCUGUUUGAAGAAGCACCCAUCCUACGAGAGUCCUUUAAAGGUUCGUUUGAUCCAGUGCGACAUCAACGGCGACAGAGAAAUGUUCGUCGAUCUUGGAUUGAUCUUCCAGCUGCCGUAGAUCAAGAGGCGGCGAGCCGACACCAUUCUCAUGUGAGCAAGUCCGUCAAGGGGAGGUGGAAAAACACUCGUCCAAAAAUCCAAAUUCGAAAUCCAUAUGACUCAUAUGUUGUUAAAUGCAUUGCAUCCACAUCACAAAAUGAUGAGGGUGGCGCCAUCAUGCGACUGGCAGAGGCCCUGGCCCGGCCUGAGUACCAAGAAUUCAUUCAGCAACAUCCUGAACAUCAAGAUUAUGUGAACCAAGCUGCUCAUGUCCGUUCAAGAAGGGCGGAGUACAAAGAAAGAGAAAGGGCAGUACGGGCAAGGUCUGGGUCAAGCAGAGUCCAAGGGGCAGAGCACGCCCCAUCAGAUGAGCCCUCUCGUAAGAAAACCAAGAAUAAAUCAUUCGAGGUGUUCCAAGCAAUGCCAGUUGGUGUCAGGGCGGCAUCAGACAAGACCAGCGAAACAUCCUCCACAUCAAUACAUUUCAAGAGGAAGAAGGCACGCAAAACUGUCAUAGAAGGUCCUCGUCGUAGUACACGAAGCCAAAAGGGUUCAGAUUAUGAAGAACUUGGGUCUAGCUGUGGUGGGUCUUAUAAUCCCCUAUCGGGCAGUACCCCAUGUCCUUCUGAAAAUGAGAUAGAACUCCACCAUGGUGCAGAGCAU
rnacentral:rRNA from 1 species